rnacentral:tRNA from 1 species
GGGGAGGAGUCUGGUAACUCAUCGGGCUCAUAACCCGGAGGCCGCCGGUUCAAAUCCGGCCCCCG